GACGAACGCUGGCGGCGUGCCUAAUACAUGCAAGUCGAACGAGUGGCGGACGGGUGAGUAAUGUCUGGGAAACUUCCCGAUGGAGGGGGAUAACUACUGGAAACGGUAGCUAAUACCGCAUACCAUCGGAUGUGCCCAGAUGGGAUUAGCUAGUAGGUGGGGUAAUGGCUCACCUGGGCGACGAUCCCUAGCUGGUCUGAGAGGAUGACCAGCCACACUGGAACUGAGACACGGCCCAGACUCCUACGGGAGGAAGCAGUGGGGAAUAUUGCACAAGGGGCGCAAGCCGGAUGCAGAAAUGCCGCGGGUAUGAAGAAGGCUUUCGGGUUGUAAAGUACUUUCAGCGAGGAGGCGUUACUGGCAGAAGAAGCAACGGCUAACUCCGUGCCAGCAGCCGCGGUAAUUC
rnacentral:rRNA from 1 species